CACUUCAACUCUCACCCCUAAGCUUUGUGUCAGUCCCCUGCAGGAAUGAUUAAUUGCUCGGUUGAGAAUUGUUUGAAUAUGUUGAGGCUUUAGAGGGCAAAGGGUAAGAAGUCUACAGCGCGAGAGCAGAGGCGUAAUCAAAUGGAAGGAUGGGUUCUCCGUGGUGGCACCUAUAAACACAAUGCUACCAUCUUCGAUAACAGGCAAGAAAGAAUCCUGUUGGGACUUGUUAAACCUAUGAAUCUCAUCGACAAACAACACAGUUCUUUUCCCAUUCUUCACUUUCAACUUCCUUGCAUUUUCAACAGCAUCCCUCACAUCCUUA
rnacentral:misc_RNA from 1 species